ACCUCAUGAUCUGCCUGCCUCAGCCUCCCAAAGUGCUGGCAUUACAGGCAUGAGCCACCGCGCCUGGCAAGGCCAAGUUUCUUAUAGAAAAGCUUCCCCCUUUGGAUGGAGGUUGGACUUAGAUGCCCUAGAAGUUCCCUUCCAAAUCCAAGACUGAUUCUCUACAGGGUUGGAUUGCAGACCACCUGAGAUCAGAGACCAUGUCAUAGACACAGAGCUGAACUCCAAGGACCCAGACACAUUGCUGGGAACUUCAUGUGCAGAUAAUCAAAGAUCUUCAAGAGCUAGAAGGUUCCCUAAGAGACCACCCGAAACAAGCCUCUCCAUCCACGUAUUCAUUGAAUGAAUACACCUCCAGUCCUCCUACUUACCAGGCAGUGUUAGGUCCUGAGGAUACAGCGAUGGACAAGGCAGACAAGGUCUCUGCCCUUGUUUACAUCCUGGGGGGAGAAGACAGACUAUAAAAGAGAUUAGGAUGAGUGCUGUGAGGAUGAAAAGGGUGAUAUAACAGACAAUGACUGUGGGCAGGUGCAGUGUGUUCCUGGCAAAGGGAACUGCUAGUGCCAAGGCCUGAUGGCAGGAACUAGCAGGUGUGAGGAAGGAGCCUAAGUGAGGCCCUCUUGGCUGGAUGAGGUGGGCAAGGGGACCCCAUACAAGGAGGUGCUCAGGGUCCAGCUGUGUAGCCUGGGGCCAGGGCGAGGGUUUGGUUAUAGUCUGCAUGAUGCAGUUUUGAAGGGCUUUAAGGGGGGAGUGAUGUGAUCAGAUUACAUGUGUAAAGAAUUCUUCAGCCACCAGGAGGAGAAUGGACGGUAAGGAGAGCCGGAGUGCACAAGGGAGAGAGAUGAGAGUGGCUUGGACAGUGAGGUGGAGGGUCAUGGUUAGAUUCAGGAUCUAGGUCAUGGUGAAGAUAACAGGAGCUGUUGGACUGGAUGUGGGCAUGCAGUGAGGGCUGACUCUUGGGCUUUUCCCUUGGGGAGCUGAGUGAAGGGGGGUGCCAUCUACUCAAACAAGCCUGGAGAAGGAGUAGGUGUGGGGGGAUGGAUGGAGGGGAACAAUGGUUUCAUUUGGCCAUCAUGGCAGACCUUGCUGGCUGCUCUCCCAGGACUGAGUCUCUCCUCCCUUAUAACAGAAACCUGAAAAGUGUUUUAUUUUGUUGUUUUUGUUGUUUGAAAUGAAAGGUCUCACAUAUUUAUUACUGAACCCAGCCAACCAACGCAUUCAUAACAGAUUCAGAGAGGAAAAAUGUAUUCCCAAUAAAACAUGUCUAACUGCAGAUAACGGUGACAUUUUCAGCUUGAUAUGGUAAUGUGAUUGUGACCUUCAGACAGCAUAAAUGUGUGUGCCAUCUCAUGUGGAAUUCCUUAUAGACCCAGCUUGGUUCUCCUCCGAUGUCUCCUUUUGGAGUUGUACCUGAUUUUAUUGCCAGUUUUCAUCCUAAUCCACUGGAGAAUGGAACGAUUUUGCUUUUGUUUCUUGACCAGGAAGUCUUGUGAGAAGACAUGGCAAGAAGCGGAGUCAAGCACACACCACGAUGGCAGAGAAAGGGAGAGAGGGGCCAUUGUUUUUGUUGUUGUUAAGUAGUCACCUGUCUGGCUCCUUGUACCUUUUGCCCUUUUCCCAUCCUCCUUUUUCCUGGAACAGAGACGUGAUACCUAGAAGUACAGCAGCCAUCUUGUGAUCAUCAGGGUAAAAGUCACAUGAUGGCUGGGACAGGGAGAUGGAUAGAUCGUGGGUCCUUGAUAAUAUCAUUGAGCUGACAUACCAGUCUAGGCAAGUUGAUCAUUUUACUUGUUUAAGCCACUGUUUUUGAGCCACCACACCUGGCCCAUUGUGGCUUUUCAUUGCUUGCUGCUGAAUGAAGUCAUAGCUGAUGGAGUCAUGUUGAGUUCAAGAUUUUUGGAGGAGGGACGUGGGUCUAGGGAAGGAGGAUGAGGUUACCCCAUACACUGAGCUAGUCAACCCAGAGUUCAGUCGUUUAUUCAUUCAAGAAAUAUUUAUUGAGGACCUACUAUGCACCAGCACUAUCCCAGGUGCCGAGAAUUUAGCAGCAAAUAAAGCAAGGAUUCUCACCCUUGAGGAGUUUGCAUUCUGCUGUAAUCAAGAAGCCAGCCUGACUUAUGGGCAAUUGCAUUUCAUUUAAUCCCAAGGGUGGUGGGGUAUGAGGUGUGAACAGGUGAUGGUGGUCGGGCAUGGCAUGUCUAUUCCCACAGCCCUCCUCACCCACUCGUGAUGUUAGCAAAUCAAAAUAGUCAACAUGUUUCUUCAGUGUUUUCUAGGAGCCAAGCACUGUGCUGUGUUCUACCUCUGACGGAGGUGUUCUGAUUAUCCCCAUGUUAUAGGAAGGUUAAGAAAGCAGCUCUAGUCACACAGCUAACCAGCGGUUGUGCUAGAUUUAAACCCAGGGCUUUCUGACUCCAGAAAUUCACUGACCCCCCUCCCACCCCUGGGCAACCUCUUUAAAAAACAACAACAACAACAACAACAAGGGCCGGGCACGGUGGCU
rnacentral:lncRNA from 1 species